GACGAACCGAGCGAACGUUGUUCGGAAUAACUGGGCUUAAAGGGCGCGUAGGCGGGCCGCCAAGUUCGAGGUGAAAUCCUCCGGCUCAACCGGAGAACUGCCUCGAAUACUGGAGGCCUCGAGGCGGGUAGGGGCACGCGGAACUGUGGGUGGAGCGGUGAAAUGCGUUGAUAUCCACAGGAACUCCGGUGGCGAAGGCGGCGUGCUGGACCCGAUCUGACGCUGAGGCGCGAAAGCGUGGGUAGCAAACAGG
rnacentral:rRNA from 1 species